rnacentral:misc_RNA from 1 species
AUGGGCUUUUGCUGCACAGUCUGCAAAGAGGAAGUAAUUAAGAAAAAUCAUGAUUGAUUCAUGAUAACACAAAUUAUGAUAUUAGUAAUUUUUGAGAACAACAUGCAUAGAAGCUUGGAUUUUAGUUUAUCAUAUGAGUCACUAAAUGGAGUCUAUAAUGAGUGCCUAUGAUAUGUCGCUCAAUGGAAUCAUCUCUGAUUUAUUUACUCUUCAUUCAGCAUUUUGCUCCCAGGUUGCAUUUAAUGGUCUAUAGCUUUCAAGUUUUAGAAGUUCUAAAAAUUUGCAAAAUGUUUUGUUAAAUGUUUUUGAAAGUGGGAAUGAAAUGCAUAGCUUCAUGUAUAUGAUCUAUUUCUCUGGAAUAACUCCACAUUUCAUAUGAAACAAAUCUUUUUAAGAUCUGUCCAAGAAGGUGGACUCUUGCAAUUAUUCUCAACCUGAAAUCAAUAUCUUAGAGAGUGUUUCGUAACACUAG